UACGUAGGGUGCGAGCGUUAAUCGGAAUUACUGGGCGUAAAGCGUGCGCAGGCGGUUUUGUAAGACAGGCGUGAAAGUCCCCGGGCUCAACCUGGGAAUGGCGCUUGUGACUGCAAAGCUGGAGUGCGGCAGAGGGGGAUGGAAUUCCGCGUGUAGCAGUGAAAUGCGUAGAUAUGCGGAGGAACACCGAUGGCGAAGGCAAUCCCCUGGGCCUGCACUGACGCUCAUGCACGAAAGCGUGGGGAGCAAACAGG
rnacentral:rRNA from 1 species